UACGAAGGGGGCUAGCGUUGUUCGGAAUUACUGGGCGUAAAGCGCGUGUAGGCGGCCAUCUAAGUCGGGCGUGAAAUCCCACGGCUCAACCGUGGAAGUGCACUCGAAACUGGAUGGCUAGAGUCCUGGAGAGGAAGGUGGAAUGCUUGGUGUAGAGGUGAAAUUCGUAGAUAUCAAGCGGAACACCGGUGGCGAAGGCGGCCUUCUGGACAGUGACUGACGCUGAGACGCGAAAGCGUGGGGAGCAAACAGG
rnacentral:rRNA from 1 species